rnacentral:tRNA from 1 species
GGCUCGGUAGUGUAGUUGGGAAAGCACGUCUAGCGAAUAAGGGUCGUAAGUUCAAAUCUCACCUGAGCUG